CUCUCUCUCUCCUCCUCUUUCCUCCAUCGUCUGACAUCAAGUCUUUUUCUUUAUUUUUAUAACCACUUAUUUUUCUCUCGUUUAAAAAAAGAUCAUUUAGAGUCACGUGUAGUUUUUUUUUUUUUCUAAUACUGUUUCACAAAGCCGCACCAGCCGCGUGUGUUGGAGCCUGACGUGGACGCAUCAUGUUACUCAAAAAGAAGAAGAAAAAAAAUGCAUAACAAGAAAAAUAAAGAAAAAAAAUCUAAUGUUUCUCGUCUUCCAUGCAUGUCGUCCCUUUUAGGUGUUUAGCAACGAUUGUAUUUUUCCUUUUCCUUUUUAGACUUUUUAAAAAAACAGUUGCUACAGAGACAAAAUGUAAACAACGGAGAGUUCUAAAUGGCAGAAAAUAACCAAAAAUGAAUAAAUACAUUGUAUGUCAAUUAUUAAGCUCUGUCUGCUGUCUCAUUUUAUUAUGGAGGGUUGGACGAUCAAUAUGCAUUACAUACACUAUAUAUACAAAAGUAUGUGGACAACCCUUAAAAUGACAAAUCUGGGUUUGGAGAACGCUACCUGCCACAAUGCAUAGCUCCAACUGUAAAGUUUGGUGGAGGAGGAAAAAUGGUCUGAGGAUGUUUUUCAUGGUUCGGGGCUAGGCCCCUUAGUUCCAGUGGAGGGAAAUCUUAACGCUAAAAUUACGUUCAGCAUAACAAUGCCCCCGUGCACAAAGCGAGGCCCAUGUAGAAAUGGUUUGUUGAGAUCGUUGUGGAAGAACAUGAUUGGCCUCCACAGAGCCCUGACCUCAACCCCAUCAAACACCUUUGGGAUGAAUUGCAACGCCGACUGCGAGCCAGGCCUAAUCGCCGAACAUCAGUACCUGACCUCACUAAUGCUCAUGUGGCUGAAUGUAAGUAAGUCCCCGCAGCAAUGUUCCAACAUCUAGUGGAAAGCCUUCCCAGAAGAGCAGAGGCUGUUAUAGCAGCAAAAGGGGGACCAACUCCAUAUUAAUACACAUGAUUUUGAAAUGAGAUGUUCGAUGAGCAGGUGUCCACAUACUUUUGGUCAUCUAGUGUACAUAAUAAGAAAAUGUAGAUUCAUUAAUAACUACUAACGUAUUAACAAUACAAACGCUAGCCUAUGCUGUAUGUCACAGUAGAAGUAUCAUGUCACAGUAGAAGUAUCAUGUCACAGUAGAAGAUCAUUCAAAUAUCAGUCGUUGAUCUUGUAAU
ensembl:lncRNA